GACGAACGUUGGCGGCGUGCUUAACACAUGCAAGUCGAACGGAAAGGCCCUGCUUUUGUGGGGUGCUCGAGUGGCGAACGGGUGAGUAACACGUGAGUAACCUGCCCUUGACUUUGGGAUAACUUCAGGAAACUGGGGCUAAUACCGGAUAGGAGCUCCUGCUGCAUGGUGGGGGUUGGAAAGUUUCGGCGGUUGGGGAUGGACUCGCGGCUUAUCAGCUUGUUGGUGGGGUAGUGGCUUACCAAGGCUUUGACGGGUAGCCGGCCUGAGAGGGUGACCGGCCACAUUGGGACUGAGAUACGGCCCAGACUCCUACGGGAGGCAGCAGUGGGGAAUAUUGCACAAUGGGCGGAAGCCUGAUGCAGCAACGCCGCGUGCGGGAUGACGGCCUUCGGGUUGUAAACCGCUUUCGCCUGUGACGAAGCGUGAGUGACGGUAAUGGGUAAAGAAGCACCGGCUAACUACGUGCCAGCAGCCGCGGUGAUACGUAGGGUGCGAGCGUUGUCCGGAUUUAUUGGGCGUAAAGGGCUCGUAGGUGGUUGAUCGCGUCGGAAGUGUAAUCUUGGGGCUUAACCCUGAGCGUGCUUUCGAUACGGGUUGACUUGAGGAAGGUAGGGGAGAAUGGAAUUCCUGGUGGAGCGGUGGAAUGCGCAGAUAUCAGGAGGAACACCAGUGGCGAAGGCGGUUCUCUGGGCCUUUCCUGACGCUGAGGAGCGAAAGCGUGGGGAGCGAACAGGCUUAGAUACCCUGGUAGUCCACGCUGUAAACGGUGGGUACUAGGUGUGGGGUCCAUUCCACGGGUUCCGUGCCGUAGCUAACGCUUUAAGUACCCCGCCUGGGGAGUACGGCCGCAAGGCUAAAACUCAAAGGAAUUGACGGGGCCCCGCACAAGCGGCGGAGCAUGCGGAUUAAUUCGAUGCAACGCGUAGAACCUUACCUGGGUUUGACAUGGAUCGGGAGCGCUCAGAGAUGGGUGUGCCUCUUUUGGGGUCGGUUCACAGGUGGUGUAUGGCUGUCGUCAGCUCGUGUCGUGAGAUGUUGGGUUAAGUCCCGCAACGAGCGCAACCCUUGUUCACUGUUGCCAGCACGUUAUGGUGGGGACUCAGUGGAGACCGCCGGGGUCAACUCGGAGGAAGGUGGGGAUGACGUCAAGUCAUCAUGCCCCUUAUGUCCAGGGCUUCACGCAUGCUACAAUGGCUGGUACAGAGAGUGGCGAGCCUGUGAGGGUGAGCGAAUCUCGGAAAGCCGGUCUCAGUUCGGAUUGGGGUCUGCAACUCGACCUCAUGAAGUCGGAGUCGCUAGUAAUCGCAGAUCAGCAACGCUGCGGUGAAUACGUUCCCGGG
rnacentral:rRNA from 1 species